rnacentral:tRNA from 1 species
AGUUAAAAGAUUCCCAAUCAAUAUCAUUACUCAUACUGAAACUUACAAAGUCAUUUUUUUGAAGAUCGACGAAAUUUCCCGGUUUUGAUCAAAUUUUUUAAUCUACUUAAUUGACAUAGACCCCAGUUCUCUAAUAAAAUGAGGAUACUAAAUUGGGAAUAGCCGGGAUAGCUCAGUCGN